GACGAACGCUGGCGGCGUGCUUAACACAUGCAAGUCGAACGGAAAGGCCCUGCUUUUGUGGGGUGCUCGAGUGGCGAACGGGUGAGUAACACGUGAGUAACCUGCCCUUGACUUUGGGAUAACUUCAGGAAACUGGGGCUAAUACCGGAUAGGAGCUCCUGCUGCAUGGUGGGGGUUGGAAAGUUUCGGCGGUUGGGGAUGGACUCGCGGCUUAUCAGCUUGUUGGUGGGGUAGUGGCUUACCAAGGCUUUGACGGGUAGCCGGCCUGAGAGGGUGACCGGCCACAUUGGGACUGGGAUACGGCCCAGACUCCUACGGGAGGCAAGAGUGGGGAAUAUUGCACAAUGGGCGGAAGCCUGAUGCAGCAACGCCGCGUGCGGGAAGACGGCCUUCGGGUUGUAAACCGCUUUCGCCUGUGACGAAGCGUGAGUGACGGUAAUGGGUAAAGAAGCACCGGCUAACUACGUG
rnacentral:rRNA from 1 species